rnacentral:rRNA from 1 species
CCCCAGACUCCUACGGGAGGCAACAGUGGGGAAUAUUGGGCAAUGGGCGAAAGCCUGACCCAGCAACGCCGCGUGAAGGAAGAAGGCUUUCGGGUUGUAAACUUCUUUUGACAGGGAAGAGCAGAAGACGGUACCUGUCGAAUAAGCCACGGCUAACUACGUGCCAGCAGCCGCGGUAAUACGUAGGUGGCAAGCGUUAUCCGGAUUUACUGGGUGUAAAGGGCGUGUAGGCGGGAGUGCAAGUCAGAUGUGAAAACUAUGGGCUCAACCCAUAGCCUGCAUUUGAAACUGCACUUCUUGAGUGCUGGAGAGGCAAUCGGAAUUCCGUGUGUAGCGGUGAAAUGCGUAGAUAUACGGAGGAACACCAGUGGCGAAGGCGGAUUGCUGGACAGUAACUGACGCUGAGGCGCGAAAGCGUGGGGAGCAAACAGGAUUAGAUACCCCUGUAC